rnacentral:rRNA from 1 species
AUUGAACGCUGGCGGCAGGCCUAACACAUGCAAGUCGAGCGAGCGGCGGACGGGUGAGUAAUGUCUGGGAAACUGCCUGAUGGAGGGGGAUAACUACUGGAAACGGUAGCUAAUACCGCAUACUCACAGAGGGGCCAAGAUGGGAUUAGCUAGUGGGUGGGGGAACGGCUAACCCAGGCACCGAUCCCUAGCUGGUCUGAGAGGAUGACCAGCCACACUGGAACUGAGACACGGUCCAGACUCCUACGGGAGGCAGCAGUGGGGAAUAUUGCACAAUGGGCGCAAGCCUGAUGCAGCCAUGCCGCGUGUAUGAAGAAGGCCUUCGGGUUGUAAAGUACUUUCAGCGGGGAGGCGGUACCCGCAGAAGAAGCACCGGCUAACUCCGUGCCAGCAGCCGCGGUAAUAC